GCGUAUUAUAAUAUCAACAGCUACGGUUGAAGCAAAAUCAAUGGCUGCUUUCUUUAAUACUAGAAGACAGGAGCAGGAGCAAGGACCAACAAAAGAACCUGCUAUUCUGUCAGUUGAGAUCCUGUUUCUGAUUACGUUCGGUCCGCUGUUUCAACAGUGAUGUCGAUCCAUGUCCAGGAGGCGACCACCGGUUUUAGGAACAACUAAACAACCCUUACUUGUCAAAAUGAUGAAACAUGGUGUUCUUUUCAUAGUUUGUGAAUAACUUGAGCCUUGAAGGUUCGUUGUGACAAAACAUUCUAUGAGCGUCUUCAUCUUUCCGCGAAUAUUUACUGAUCGUAUAGAUUAAGAUUGAGAAUAACAAUUUAUAAAUUACAUAUUGAGAGCUAAGUUUGUCUAAUCACAUCUCUCCAAUA